rnacentral:rRNA from 1 species
UCGUCACACUAUCAUUAACUGAAUCCAUAGGUUAAUGAGGCGAACCGGGGGAACUGAAACAUCUAAGUACCCCGAGGAAAAGAAAUCAACCGAGAUUCCCCCAGUAGCGGCGAGCGAACGGGGAGGAGCCCAGAGCCUGAAUCAGCAUGUGUGUUAGUGGAAGCGUCUGGAAAGGCGCGCGAUACAGGGUGACAGCCCCGUACACAAAAGCGCAUGUGCUGUGAGCUCGAUGAGUAGGGCGGGACACGUGGUAUCCUGUCUGAAUAUGGGGGGACCAUCCUCCAAGGCUAAAUACUCCUGACUGACCGAUAGUGAACCAGUACCGUGAGGGAAAGGCGAAAAGAACCCCGGCGAGGGGAGUGAAAAAGAACCUGAAACCGUGUACGUACAAGCAGUGGGAGCACCCUUUGGGUGUGACUGCGUACCUUUUGUAUAAUGGGUCAGCGACUUAUAUUCUGUAGCAAGGUUAACCGAAUAGGGGAGCCGGAGGGAAACCGAGUCUUAAUUGGGCGUUAAGUUGCAGGGUAUAGACCCGAAACCCGGUGAUCUAGCCAUGGGCAGGUUGAAGGUUGGGUAACACUAACUGGAGGACCGAACCGACUAAUGUUGAAAAAUUAGCGGAUGACCUGUGGCUGGGGGUGAAAGGCCAAUCAAACCGGGAGAUAGCUGGUUCUCCCCGAAAGCUAUUUAGGUAGCGCCUCGUGAAUUCAUCUCCGGGGGUAGAGCACUGUUUCGGCUAGGGGGCCAUCCCGGCUUACCAACCCGAUGCAAACUGCGAAUACCGGAGAAUGUUAUCACGGGAGACACACGGCGGGUGCUAACGUCCGUCGUGAAGAGGGAAACAACCCAGACCGCCAGCUAAGGUCCCAAAGUCAUGGUUAAGUGGGAAACGAUGUGGGAAGGCCCAGACAGCCAGGAUGUUGGCUUAGAAGCAGCCAUCAUUUAAAGAAAGCGUAAUAGCUCACUGGUCGAGUCGGCCUGCGCGGAAGAUGUAACGGGGCUAAACCAUGCACCGAAGCUGCGGCAGCGACACUGUGUGUUGUUGGGUAGGGGAGCGUUCUGUAAGCCUGUGAAGGUGUGUCGUGAGGC